rnacentral:rRNA from 1 species
UACGGAGGGGGCAAGCGUUGUUCUGAUUUAUUGGGCGUAAAGAGUCUGUAGGCGGCAUGGUAAGUCAGAUGUGAAAUCUCUGGGCUUAACCCAGAAACUGCAUUUGAUACUGCUAAGCUAGAGUACUAAAGAGGCGCAUGGAAUUCUCGGUGUAAGAGUGAAAUCUGCAGAUAUCGAGAAGAACACCAGUGGCGAAGGCGAUGCGCUGGGUGGAUACUGACGCUGAGAGACGAAAGCUAGGGGAGCGAACGGG